rnacentral:lncRNA from 1 species
AUAUGAGUUGCUCCUAUAUAACCUUGUAUUUAAAAAUCAUGUUAUUAUCUUUUGUUAUUUUUUAAAAACCUUGGGUACUUAAUGGUUUAGUUACCAAACUGAAAACUAUACUGAGAAUCUGUAAGUGUUAUUUUGAAACAUCAAAAGGAUUUUUCUAUCCAGAACAUUUUUUAUCCUAAAAAUUCUAUAUAGUUGUACCUUCUCUAUUUUUCAAAUGAGAGCUCAAUUCAUUUAGAUACUGAAAUGAGUCAGUUAAUGUAAAGUUGAGGAUGAAGGCACAUUAUUUAAAAUGUAAGAGAAUAAGCAUUAUUUUUUCAGUAUUAUUCAUAGAUCUAAAUGAAUUUGAUUUUAUUGGUUGAAAAUGAAGUGAAAAACAAUUGCCUAGGGUGGUUUUAAGCACUUUUUUGUUAAAAACAAAUCUGAGUUUUAAUAUAUGUGUUGCUUUGUAGAUGACACAAUAACAAUGGGCGCUGAGAAGUGUUUUGGGAGACAUUAAGGACUAAAAGUAUGUAAGAUGACUAGGACAAGAGUAGGUGGAGUGUGAUGGUAAAUGCAGGAUGCCUUCGUCUUUACAAAAAUGCAGUAUUAUCUAUACUCAGACUGAGGUGCUGGGAUGGCGAGCAGGGGACCCCACAGCACUGUCCCCAGGGAAUUCAAGUCCUGUGACCGCCAGUGACUUACUCUGUUUCCUUGGGGCUUUUCCCACCUCAGCCUGUAUUUUCUUUUUCAUAAAUAAAUUCAGCAUUAUAGUAUCAUUAAAAGCUUAUGGCUAAUCCAAAGGUUUAUUGGAUGGGCCUGGGAAAGAUGCUCUGAUCCCUUUGUGGGUCCAGGCGAUGAUGCUGUAUGGGGAGCCUGAAACCACAGGGCAGGUUGAGGGGUUGGGGCAGCAGGAAAGGGCUGAGGCCCCACGGGCCGACAGAGAACCUCCCUUCUUUUCUUUGACUUCAUGACUUAGAUAGCUUGUCUUUUUUUUUGCCUUAGAAGAUUUAUUAUUUUACAUUCCUAUAUCAUGUUUUGGUAGAAUUUAAGAGAGAGUGUGUAUGUGCUCUUCUCAGAGUCAUCCUAUUUUAUAGGCAAACUCAGACUGUCACAGUGAACCCAAUCAGGAGGAGGUCUUCUUCAAGGAUGUCUCUGGUAAGAAACAAGGAAAAUAUGAUUGCUUUUAUAUUUUAGUGAUGUUUUUCCUGAAUAAAAUAUGCUUUCAAUACUGUUAAUUU